CUUAUUUGUGGCUGCCUUAGGCCACCACAAAUAACCCCUUUGUGACUGCUAUUUGCCCUUUGUGAAGGUUUUUGGCCCUCACAAAUUCCUUGUUUUCUUAUUGUGAUUUAACUUGAGAUUUGGCCUGCGGAGAAUGAUUUGUCUUUAAAAGGGAAUAACCAUAAUGUUGUUCUGAUCCAUCUCCAUUUCAAGUAAGACAUGAUGCUCUUGAUUUUUUUCAUGGCACACCCCUCCUAAGUGAGAUGCACCCUUCUCCCUCUCAUUCCCCAUCAGAGGUCUCUGCACACUUGAUCAAGAUCAGGAUCAUAUCAGGAUCAUGAUGGCUCUCACAUCAAAGGGAUUAUUAUAAAUUUGUUUCAUAAUUAUGGUCGGAUCCUAAAGGUUCCAUUUUCAUAGUUGGAUUUAUUAUGCCUAUUAUAAAGAACUCUUUGAUUUUUGGAUGAAGUCUUGUAAGAAGAGAGAGAUGAGUUAUGUUGAAACAAGAAAGUGUGUGUGUGAUUAAAGUGCAUAAUGGGCUGAAAUCCAUCAACAACACAAAGAUGACGUGGAUGAAAGAUCUACAACAGCUAAAAAGAAAACUGGAUGAUUUUUUUUUUAACUAGCAUGGGUGAAUUAUGUGAGAGAACAAUUAAUUAUGUCCCUUUUGAUGCUUAGCUAGAAAAAAUAAAAUGUGAACAUAAUUUUGUGAAUA